CAAGUUCAUAAAACCUUUAGUAGAAUUCACCUUCUUUGCUCGAUUUUCCUUUACAUAAAUUUUAUUUUCUUGGUAGAUAGGGGACUACUCCUUCCUAUGCAAGGUGACUCCAAUACUGUGCCAGCGACCUCUGGGGUUGUCGACGUGGCCACCGCGACUAUGGUCCAUGAAGAUGGUGAAGUUGGUGGUGGAGGUGGUGGUGCUCCAAAUUCAUCAGGUGAAGAAGAUAAGAGUAUUAUUAGGGUUGACGAAGGUGACCGGAUGAGCUAUGGUGCAAACCGGUGGCCAAGACAAGAAACUUUGGCCUUGUUGAAGAUAAGGUCAGACAUGGAUGCGGUGUUUCGUGACUCAAGCCUGAAAGGUCCAUUAUGGGAAGAGGUUUCCAGGUGAUUGAAUUUUAUUUAUUCUUUAAUUUUCUUUUCCAAUUUUCUAUUCCUAUAUGGGUUUAAUUAAUAAGCUGUUUCUAUUCAUGCAUGGAGAUCUAAUUGUGUUCACCUUUCUCUGAAUUGUUUAGUUUCUCUCUUUUCUUUUUGGAUCUUUCAAAAUCUUUAAUUGUAUUAUACAUGAUGGGACAUUUUAAAUUUUUCUUUGUCUUUGGAUCUUUCCCUUAAUUAAACAGAGAAGAAGGGAAUUGUUGAUAGAUCGGUAUCAACACAAAAGAGAAAAGUUAAUUAAUUUUAGUGUAAUUUGAUUUGAAUUUAGCUUAAUUUCUCUAUAAUCUAGGUUUCUUCUCUGUAGCUUUGUUUUGUUUAUUUUAAACACAAAAGAGAUUUUUUUUUUUCAUUUUAUAGUUUCUUUUUCUUUCUUUCUUUGUGGCUUAAUUCCUAGUAGAAGGAAGGAAUUGGCCUACUAAAUGUGUAUUGCUCCCAACAUGGUUGGUAUGGUUCCACAUGUCAUCAUAGUUUGUUAGGUCUUCUCUCAUCUUUUCUUUUCCAUUUCAAUCUUCAUUUUUUUUUUUUUUGGUUUUUUCUGUUUCUUCUUGUUUAUUUUAAGUCUAUCAAAUGAUUUUAGAUUUGUUCUACGAUUGAAUGUUUUUUCUUCUAAUCAAUGGGAUAAAGCCAGACAUGGAGUUCUUGAAAUGUUGUCAUCAGGAAACUAGCUGAGCUUGGUUAUCAUCGAAGUGCCAAGAAAUGUAAGGAAAAGUUCGAGAAUGUGUACAAGUACCACAAGCGAACCAAAGAAGGUCGAACCGGCAAAUCCGAAGGCAAAACUUAUAGAUUUUUCGAUCAAUUACAAGCUCUUGAAAAUCAUCAUCACCAUCAAUCCCAGCUAGCAACACCAGCACGGCCACCGUCGUUACCCAAACUUCAACCUCCAAUCACAACAACUGCUACAUUGCCUUGGUCUAAUAAUCUUCCUAAUGUUUCUCAUGCUGCUGUUCCAUCAACGACAAACACUGCGAAUAUUAUUGCUUCACAUCAGAACAAUAAUGUUGCUCCUUCAGCUGAUCCUGCAAUCAAUGCUAUGCCAUUAUCUUCAUCACAACCUUUAAAUCCUUCUCAAAAUAUUUUCCCAUCUUUUCAAAAUCUUACUUCUCAUCUUUUUUCGAGUUCUACUUCCUCCUCCACUGCAUCUGACGAAGGGUAUCAAACAACUCGAAAGAGAAAGAGAUCAAAAUGGAAGGAUUUCUUGGAGAGGCUAACGAAGGAUGUUAUGAAGAAGCAAGAAGAGUUGCAAAGGAAGUUCUUGGAAACUGUAGAGAAACGCGAGCAUGAAAGGAUGGCAUGCGAGGAAGCUUGGAGAAUGCAAGAGAUGGCAAGAAUUAAUAGAGAGCAUGAAAUUUUGAUCCAAGAACGGACCACCGCUGCUGCUAAAGAUGCUGCAGUUAUUGCAUUCUUGCAAAAAAUAUCGGGACAGCAAAACUCGAUACAAACGGUAGAUAUUCCACCACCACCACCACCACCAGUAGUGGCAGCGGCACCAGCAUCAGCCCCAGCUCCACCUCAGUCACCAGGACCGGCAUUGGCACCUGCAGCAGCGCCACCACAGCCUAGGCCAGCAGCACCACCUCCUUCGCUACCAGUAGUAAUGAAUUUGGAUGUUUCAAAAAAGGAUAAUGGACAGAAUAACGCCGUUGUAUCAAGCUCUUCUAGAUGGCCAAAAGUUGAAGUCCAAGCUCUUAUUAAUCUCAGAACCAAUCUUGAAACUAAGUAUCAAGAAAAUGGACCUAAAGGACCUCUGUGGGAGGAAAUCUCAGCAGGAAUGCAAAAGCUUGGAUAUAACAGGAGUGCGAAAAGAUGCAAAGAGAAAGGGGAGAAUAUAAACAAGUAUUUC
rnacentral:misc_RNA from 1 species